GACGAACGCUGGCGGCGUGCUUAACACAUGCAAGUCGAACGGAAAGGCCCUGCUUUUGUGGGGUGCUCGAGUGGCGAACAGGUGAGUAACACGUGAGUAACCUGCCCUUGACUUUGGGAUAACUUCAGGAAACUGGGGCUCAUACCGGAUAGGAGCUCCUGCUGCAUGGUGGGGGUUGGAAAGUUUCGGCGGUUGGGGAUGGACUCGCGGCUUAUCAGCUUGUUGGUGGGGUAGUGGCUUACCAAGGCUUUGACGGGUAGCCGGCCUGAGAGGGUGACCGGCCACAUUGGGACUGAGAUACGGCCCAGACUCCUACGGGAGGCAGCAGUGGGGAAUAUUGCACAAUGGGCGGAAGCCUGAUGCGGCAACGCCGCGUGCGGGAUGACGGCCUUCGGGUUGUAAACCGCUUUCGCCUGUGACGAAGCGUGAGUGACGGUAAUGGGUAAAGAAGCACCGGCUAACUACGUG
rnacentral:rRNA from 1 species